GGAGCAGACCAGCCCAGGCCAGAGCAGACAGAAGCACAGUGGAGCAGAGAAGUGCAGCACAAAGCAGACAGGCAUGGAGCAGAGCAUGGAGGAGCAGAACUAUCUGGCCAGAAGGAUUUGGCUAGAUAGUUAUCUAGCCAUUGGCUCCAGGGCUGCCUGAUACCUGUGUUGUUUUCACAGCCAUGUUGUAUCGUAAUUGAGCUGUUUUCCUCGGAAGAAAGUUACCUUUUUCACCACACCCCAAAUCGGUGUUGAACUGGUGGCAACCAUCAGUGAACAGCACUAUAACGAACGAAAACAGGGUCUGAGACGUGGGGAGCUGAAGGGAGUCUUUAAGGAGGUGACCUGAGUUGAGCCCUGGGUGACUGCAGGGAGCCAGGAUGGCCGAGGGGAGGAGCGUUCUGAGCAGAGGGUGGAGCGAGCACCGAGGCCCUGAGGCACAAGGAGUUUGGCACACGCACUGCACAGAAAGACUGGCUGCAGCUGGCGAACCAGGGACAGUGGUGGAGACAGGCUUGGCCACAACGGGCACUGCGGCGAGAACACCGAGACUCAGAGAAGCAAGGGCUCUACCCUCAUCCUGCCUCUCUUUGAACCGGCCUUUGCCAAUGGAGCUGUGUGACCUUGGGCAAUGUGCUUGACCACUCUCGGCCUCAGUUUCAUCCCCACAGAAGACAGGACAGUCUGGAGCAACAGAAACCCCAGACGAAUGGUCCCGAUGGCAUCAUCCCACCGACUCGUGUCUUUGUCCCCAUGGCUUGUAGGCGUCGUCCGCAUGCAGGACCCAAGUUGCCAAGCUUCCAACAGGUCUUUCCAGAGGAGAGUGAGACCAGAGGGACGGCAGUGCACAGAGAGAGUGACAUUAAACCACGCUUCUGACCCUUGCUCUAGGUGGUACCUGAGCGCAGCCACAGAAUGACCCCUGACUCAAGCUGUAGACUGAUUCUUGACCCACACUAUGGACCUAUUUGUGAUCCUGGCUACAGACCAACCCAGGCAAUGCUGACCCUUAGCCCUGGCCGAAGACUAAUCACUGACCCAUAGACUGAUCUCUGACUUCGGCCACCCGGCUCCCUCACAGACACCUCACCCCAUCUGGGAACUGGCAUGUCUUAAUUUUCAGCUGGAAAUUCAGCUUGAGUCGGGUAACAUAUCUGUCCAUCUGCCCUGCCUCUUUGCCACAGAACCACAGGGCAAGCUGACAGUUCUCCUUUUUAACCGAAGAGAGCAGCGUCAGGAGAAGGGCCCUUUGCCAACUUCCUUCUGCUUUGGAUGUGAUGUCUGGUGGUCUGACACCCACCUCGUGAUCACGAGUGGACAAGCCGGACAUGAAAGGCAGUGUUCUGAAUACGGCGCGGUGGGGGAGGAAAAGAGCCUGCGUCCUUGAUCACUUCUUUAAGUGAUCAAAUCAACCUCUGGAUUCUUUAAUAAAACAGACUUGCUUUUGUUGAAACCAUGGUGGUAUUGCUUUUGCACAUAUAAAGCAGUCUUAAAGAUCAUAGUAGGUAGAAUAAUGGACCUCCAAAGAAAUUCACAUCCUAAUCUCUGGAAACUGUGAACAUGUGGGAUCCAGACUGCCAAUCAAGGGGUCAAAGAACAUGCAUGAAUGACCCAUGGACGUGGACAAAGGCAAGGGGAUUGACUCUGGGCAAGAGGGAUAGGCUGGGUAGAA